GGAGCCAUAGGGAGGGAUAACAAUCCAGCCUUGGGGAAAGAAAGCUGCCAGGGAGGCUUGGAGAUUGGCGACCAUCCUAGUGACUUA
rnacentral:pre_miRNA from 1 species